rnacentral:rRNA from 1 species
CUAUACAUGCAAGUCGAACGGGUGUAUCAAUACACUAUUGGCGCACGGGUGCGUAACGCGUAACCAACCUGCCCUUGACUGGGGGAUACCCCGCCAAAAGGCGGAUUAAUACCGCAUAAACCAACAGCGCGUCAUCUCGCAAUUGGUAUAAAUUUAUUGGUCAAGGAUGGGGUUGCGUGACAUUAGCUAGUUGGCGGGGUAACGGCCCACCAAAGCGACAAUGUCUAGGGGACCUGAGAGGGUGAUCCCCCACACUGGCACUGAGAUACCGGCCAGACUCCUACGGGAGGAAGCAGUAAGGAAUAUUGGGCAAUGGACGAGAGUCUGACCCACCCCUGCCGCGUGCAGGAUGAAAGCCUUCUGGGUUGUAAACUGCUUUUCUCAGGGAAAAAAAAGGGGAUGCGUCCUCACCUGAGGGUACCUGAGGAAUAAACACCCGCUAACUCCCUGCCAGCACCCGCGGUAAUACAGAGGGGGCAAGCGUUGUCCGGAUUUAUUGUGUUUAAAGGGUGCGUAAGCGGCUUGUGAACUCCCGGGUGAAAGCCCCCAACUCAACUGUGGAACUGCGCUGGAUACUGACAAGCUUGAGUCCACACAAGGUUGGCGGAAUGGAAAGUGUAUCGGUGAAAUGCAUAUAUACCUUCCAGAACCCCCAUUGCGUAUGCAGCUGA